GAGGGUAUAGCUCAAGUGGCAGAGCACAUGCUUAGCAUGCAUGAGGUCCUGGGUUCCAUCCCCAGUACCUCCU
rnacentral:tRNA from 1 species